UAUUAUUUUAUUGUGUUUUCUCGCAGAGUGCUUCAGGAGGAGGAGUGCUGGAUUGACUUAACUCAAAUACAAGGAAGAUGAGCAAGAAGAACCCACUUGUAUACUUGGACGUGUCUAUAGAUGGAGAUCCUAUUGAAAGAAUGGUUUUUGAGCUCUUCUCAGGUACUGUUCCUAAAACUGCUGAGAAUUUUCGGGCACUUUGUACUGGAGAAAAGGGGAAUGGUCAGAAAACUGGAAGACCCUGCACUACAAGGGAUCCUUUUUCCAUCACAUAAUUAAAGGAUCUUUGGCUCAGGCAUAUGUCUAUUGGUGUUAUGUCAAACGGCUUGCGAAGUAGACAGCAACCAAGACUUGGAAUCCCAGAAAGAAGUGUCAUAGGU